rnacentral:rRNA from 1 species
CCUACGUGAUGCUGCAGUGGGGAAUAUUGGACAAUGGGCGAAAGCCUGAUCCAGCCAUGCCGCGUGUGUGAAGAAGGCCUUCGGGUUGUAAAGCACUUUCAGUGGGGAAGAAAGCCUUGGGGCUAAUACCCUCGAGGAAGGACAUCACCCACAGAAGAAGCACCGGCUAACUCCGUGCCAGCAGCCGCGGUAAUACGGAGGGUGCGAGCGUUAAUCGGAAUUACUGGGCGUAAAGCGCGCGUAGGCGGUCUGAUAAGCCGGAUGUGAAAGCCCCGGGCUCAACCUGGGAACGGCAUCCGGAACUGUCAGGCUAGAGUGCAGGAGAGGAAGGUAGAAUUCCCGGUGUAGCGGUGAAAUGCGUAGAGAUCGGGAGGAAUACCAGUGGCGAAGGCGGCCUUCUGGACUGACACUGACGCUGAGGUGCGAAAGCGUGGGUAGCAAACAGGAUUAGAUACCCUAGUAGUC